AAACUUAAAGGAAUUGACGGGGCCGCACAAGCGGUGGAGCAUGUGGUUUAAUUCGACGCAACGCGAAGAACCUUACCAGGCUUGACAUCCCCUGACCGCGUAUGAAAGUACGUUUUCACCCUCGGGUGACAGGGAGACAGGUGGUGCAUGGUUGUCGUCAGCUCGUGUCGUGAGAUGUUGGGUUAAGUCCCGCAACGAGCGCAACCCCUACGUUUAGUUGCUAACGCGUGAAGGCGAGCACUCUAGACGAACUGCCGUUGACAAAACGGAGGAAGGUGGGAUGACGUCAAAUCAUCAUGCCCCUUAUGUUCUGGGCUACACACGUGCUACAAUGGCCGGUACAGACGGACGCAAAGCCGCGAGGUGGAGCAAAUCCUAAAAAGCCGGUCUCAGUUCGGAUUGCAGGCUGCAAUUCGCCUGCAUGAAGUCGGAAUCGCUAGUAAUCGCAGGUCAGCAUACUGCGGUGAAUACGUUCCCGGGCCUU
rnacentral:rRNA from 1 species